CCUACGGGCGGCAGCAGUAGGGAAUCUUCCACAAUGGGCGAAAGCCUGAUGGAGCAACGCCGCGUGGGUGAAGAAGGUCUUCGGAUCGUAAAACCCUGUUGUUAGAGAAGAAAGUGCGGGAGAGUAACUGUUCACGUGUCGACGGUAUCGAACCAGAAAGCCACGGCUAACUACGUGCCAGCAGCCGCGGUAAUACGUAGGUGGCAAGCGUUAUCCGGAUUUAUGGGGCGUAAAGGGAACGCAGGCGGUCUUUUAAGUCUGAUUUGAAAGCCUUCGGCUUAACCGGAGUAGUGCAUUGGAAACUGGGAGACUUGAGUGCAGCAGAGGCGACUGGAACUCCAUGUGUAGCGGUGAAAUGCGUAGAUAUAUGGAAGAACACCAGUGGCGAAGGCGGCUCUCUGGUCUGUACCUGACGCUGAGGUUCGAAAGCGUGGGUAGCAAACAGGAUUAGAUACCCGAGUAGUC
rnacentral:rRNA from 1 species